UACGUAGGGUGCAAGCGUUAAUCGGAAUUACUGGGCGUAAAGCGUGCGCAGGCGGUUGUGUAAGACAGAUGUGAAAUCCCCGGGCUCAACCUGGGAAUUGCAUUUGUGACUGCACGGCUAGAGUGUGUCAGAGGGGGAUAGAAUUCCACGUGUAGCAGUGAAAUGCGUAGAUAUGUGGAGGAAUACCGAUGGCGAAGGCAGCCCCCUGGGAUAACACUGACGCUCAUGCACGAAAGCGUGGGGAGCAAACAGG
rnacentral:rRNA from 1 species